rnacentral:rRNA from 1 species
AGAGCGAACGCUGGCGGCAGGCCUAAUACAUGCAAGUCGAACGGAUCCUUCGGGAUUAGUGGCGGACGGGUGAGUAACACGUGGGAACGUGCCCUUUGGUUCGGAACAACUCAGGGAAACUUGAGCUAAUACCGGAUAAGCCCUUCGGGGGAAAGAUUUAUCGCCAUUGGAGCGGCCCGCGUCUGAUUAGCUAGUUGGUGGGGUAAAGGCCUACCAAGGCUACGAUCAGUAGCUGGUCUGAGAGGAUGAUCAGCCACACUGGGACUGAGACACGGCCCAGACUCCUACGGGAGGCAGCAGUAGGGAAUCUUGCGCAAUGGGCGAAAGCCUGACGCAGCCAUGCCGCGUGAAUGAUGAAGGUCUUAGGAUUGUAAAAUUCUUUCAGCGGGGACGAUAAUGACGGUACCCGCAGAAGAAGCCCGGCUAACUUCGCGCCAGCAGCCGC